rnacentral:rRNA from 1 species
AUGGACAAGCUUCCCAAGCGCCCGGCUAACUACGUGCCACUUAGCCCGGUUGGGUUCCUUCCGCGCGCCAGUGCAGUAUACGGCGACCGCACGUCGGUCGUCUACGGGCGUCUCAAGUUCACGUGGAGGCAAACGCACGAGCGCUGCCGCCGCCUCGCCGCCGCCCUCGUCUCCCUCGGCGUCCGCAAGAACGACGUCGUCUCCGUCCUCGCGCCCAACGUGCCGGCAAUGUACGAGAUGCACUUCGCCGUGCCCAUGGCUGCUGCCGUGCUCAACACCAUCAACACGCGCCUGGACGCCAAGGCGGUGGCGGUCAUCCUCAGGCACGCCCAGACCAAGGUCCUCUUCGUCGACUAUGAGUACGUGCGCCUCGCUCACGACGCGCUCCAGAUCGUUGCCGAUGCCGGCGCGCCCGUGCCGCUUGUCGCCGUCAUCGAUGAUAUCGACAGACCCACCGGCGUCCGGCUCGGCCUCUUCAAGCUCGAGUAUGAGGCGCUGGUCAGCAAAGGAGACCCGGCGGCGGAGCUGCCCUCGCUCGAAGACGAGUGGGAUGCGGUCGUGCUCAACUACACCUCGGGCACCACGUCGGCGCCCAAAGGCGUGGUGUCCAGCCACCGUGGUGCAUACCUCAACACCAUGGGCCAGCUGCUGUCGUGGGGGGUGGGCGCCGAACCCGUGUACCUCUGGACGCUCCCCAUGUUCCACUGCAACGGGUGGACACUCACGUGGGGAAUGGCGGCGCGCGGCGCCGUCAACGUCUGCAUUCGCCAGAACCGCGCCGCCGACGUCUACCGUGCCAUCUCCGACUACGGCGUCACCCACAUGUGCUGCGCGCCCGUGGUAUUCAAUAUCCUCCUGGAAGGCGAGGCCCGGCGGCUCACCGCUCCCGUCCACGUCCUCGGCGGCGCCCCGCCAACAGCCGCCCUGCUGGACCGCGUCGAGCGGAUCGGUUUCAAGGUGACGCACUCCUAUGGACUCACGGAGGCCACAGGCCCCGCUAUGGCCUGUGAGUAG